GGAUCGAUGAUGACACCCAAAACGCAUUCCUUGGAAAAUCUGAACAAAAUGAGUGAGAACUCACUACCGUCUCCUCAUCGCAAACUGAGGUCC
rnacentral:snoRNA from 1 species